GAUGAAGAACGUAGCGAAAUGCGAUAAGUAGUGUGAAUUGCAGAAUUCAGUGAAUCAUCGAAUCUUUGAACGCACAUUGCGCCCCUUGGUAUUCCAUGGGGCAUGCCUGUUCGAGCGUCAUUUGUACCUUCAAGCUUUGCUUGGUGUUGGGUGUUUGUCUCGCCUUUGCGUGUAGACUCGCCUUAAAAUAAUUGGCAGCCGGCGUAUUGAUUUCGGAGCGCAGUACAUCUCGCGCUUUGCACUCAUAACGACAGCGUCCAAAAGUACAUUUUACACUCUUGACCUCGGAUUAGGUAGGGAUACCCGCUGAACUUAAGCAUAUCAAUAAGCGGAGGA
rnacentral:misc_RNA from 1 species